GGUUAAGCGACUAAGCGUACACGGUGGAUGCCCUGGCAGUCAGAGGCGAUGAAGGGCGUGCUAAUCUGCGAUAAGCGCCGGUAAGGUGAUAUGAACCGUUAUAACCGGCGAUACCCGAAUGGGGAAACCCAGUGUGACUCGUCACACUAUCAUUAACUGAAUCCAUAGGUUAAUGAGGCGAACCGGGGGAACUGAAACAUCUAAGUACCCCGAGGAAAAGAAAUCAACCGAGAUUCCCCCAGUAGCGGCGAGCGAACGGGGAGGAGCCCAGAGCCUGAAUCAGCAUGUGUGUUAGUGGAAGCGUCUGGAAAGGCGCGCGAUACAGGGUGACAGCCCCGUACACAAAAGCGCAUGUGCUGUGAGCUCGAUGAGUAGGGCGGGACACGUGGUAUCCUGUCUGAAUAUGGGGGGACCAUCCUCCAAGGCUAAAUACUCCUGACUGACCGAUAGUGAACCAGUACCGUGAGGGAAAGGCGAAAAGAACCCCGGCGAGGGGAGUGAAAAAGAACCUGAAACCGUGUACGUACAAGCAGUGGGAGCCCCACCACUAAGCCAGUGGUGAACUCCACAUACGCAUCCUUUGCUGAGGAUACGGUUAACGGAGCGAAAGCGACGUUCAACCUCAAAAGAAGCAGAGGGGGCUUAGUGGUGGGGUGACUGCGUACCUUUUGUAUAAUGGGUCAGCGACUUAUAUUCUGUAGCAAGGUUAACCGAAUAGGGGAGCCGGAGGGAAACCGAGUCUUAACCGGGCGUUAAGUUGCAGGGUAUAGACCCGAAACCCGGUGAUCUAGCCAUGGGCAGGUUGAAGGUUGGGUAACACUAACUGGAGGACCGAACCGACUAAUGUUGAAAAAUUAGCGGAUGACCUGUGGCUGGGGGUGAAAGGCCAAUCAAACCGGGAGAUAGCUGGUUCUCCCCGAAAGCUAUUUAGGUAGCGCCUCGUGAAUUCAUCUCCGGGGGUAGAGCACUGUUUCGGCUAGGGGGCCAUCCCGGCUUACCAACCCGAUGCAAACUGCGAAUACCGGAGAAUGUUAUCACGGGAGACACACGGCGGGUGCUAACGUCCGUCGUGAAGAGGGAAACAACCCAGACCGCCAGCUAAGGUCCCAAAGUCAUGGUUAAGUGGGAAACGAUGUGGGAAGGCCCAGACAGCCAGGAUGUUGGCUUAGAAGCAGCCAUCAUUUAAAGAAAGCGUAAUAGCUCACUGGUCGAGUCGGCCUGCGCGGAAGAUGUAACGGGGCUAAACCAUGCACCGAAGCUGCGGCAGCGACGCUGAUGCGUUGUUGGGUAGGGGAGCGUUCUGUAAGCCUGCGAAGGUGGCCUGUGAGGGUUGCUGGAGGUAUCAGAAGUGCGAAUGCUGACAUAAGUAACGAUAAAGCGGGUGAAAAGCCCGCUCGCCGGAAGACCAAGGGUUCCUGUCCAACGUUAAUCGGGGCAGGGUGAGUCGACCCCUAAGGCGAGGCCGAAAGGCGUAGUCGAUGGGAAACGGGUUAAUAUUCCCGUACUUGGUGUUACUGCGAAGGGGGGACGGAGAAGGCUAUGUUGGCCGGGCGACGGUUGUCCCGGUUUAAGCGUGUAGGUGUGUGUUCCAGGUAAAUCCGGUUCACUUUAACACUGAGGCGUGAUGACGAGGCACUACGGUGCUGAAGCAACAAAUGCCCUGCUUCCAGGAAAAGCCUCUAAGCAUCAGGUAACAUCAAAUCGUACCCCAAACCGACACAGGUGGUCAGGUAGAGAAUACCAAGGCGCUUGAGAGAACUCGGGUGAAGGAACUAGGCAAAAUGGUGCCGUAACUUCGGGAGAAGGCACGCUGACACGUAGGUGAAGUGAUUUACUCAUGGAGCUGAAGUCAGUCGAAGAUACCAGCUGGCUGCAACUGUUUAUUAAAAACACAGCACUGUGCAAACACGAAAGUGGACGUAUACGGUGUGACGCCUGCCCGGUGCCGGAAGGUUAAUUGAUGGGGUCAGCGCAAGCGAAGCUCCUGAUCGAAGCCCCGGUAAACGGCGGCCGUAACUAUAACGGUCCUAAGGUAGCGAAAUUCCUUGUCGGGUAAGUUCCGACCUGCACGAAUGGCGUAAUGAUGGCCAGGCUGUCUCCACCCGAGACUCAGUGAAAUUGAACUCGCUGUGAAGAUGCAGUGUACCCGCGGCAAGACGGAAAGACCCCGUGAACCUUUACUAUAGCUUGACACUGAACAUUGAGCCUUGAUGUGUAGGAUAGGUGGGAGGCUUUGAAGUGUGGACGCCAGUCUGCAUGGAGCCGGCCUUGAAAUACCACCCUUUAAUGUUUGAUGUUCUAACGUGGACCCGUGAUCCGGGUUGCGGACAGUGUCUGGUGGGUAGUUUGACUGGGGCGGUCUCCUCCUAAAGAGUAACGGAGGAGCACGAAGGUUGGCUAAUCCUGGUCGGACAUCAGGAGGUUAGUGCAAUGGCAUAAGCCAGCUUGACUGCGAGCGUGACGGCGCGAGCAGGUGCGAAAGCAGGUCAUAGUGAUCCGGUGGUUCUGAAUGGAAGGGCCAUCGCUCAACGGAUAAAAGGUACUCCGGGGAUAACAGGCUGAUACCGCCCAAGAGUUCAUAUCGACGGCGGUGUUUGGCACCUCGAUGUCGGCUCAUCACAUCCUGGGGCUGAAGUAGGUCCCAAGGGUAUGGCUGUUCGCCAUUUAAAGUGGUACGCGAGCUGGGUUUAGAACGUCGUGAGACAGUUCGGUCCCUAUCUGCCGUGGGCGCUGGAGAACUGAGGGGGGCUGCUCCUAGUACGAGAGGACCGGAGUGGACGCAUCACUGGUGUUCGGGUUGUCAUGCCAAUGGCACUGCCCGGUAGCUAAAUGCGGAAGAGAUAAGUGCUGAAAGCAUCUAAGCACGAAACUUGCCCCGAGAUGAGUUCUCCCUGAGACUUAGAGUCUCCUGAAGGAACGUUGAAGACGACGACGUUGAUAGGCCGGGUGUGUAAGCGCAGCGAUGCGUUGAGCUAACCGGUACUAAUGAACCGUGAGGCUUAACCUU
rnacentral:rRNA from 1 species